CUAAAAACGCCUUUCCACACUCUGCUAUUUUCUUAGGAAACGUUAUGCAAAUCACUUUACAGGUUUCUGCUGGUGCAGCUCGGUAAUUACCACAUUUUCUGGCCUGAAACACUCAGAAUUGCCACCCUUUCUGAAGCCUCAGAUUCAAGGUGGAGUACAGCUGACCCAGACCCCAAGGAGAAGCAGAUGAAAAGGUGCAACUUGAGAGCAGAAGAAUAGAAAGGAAGGGUUUUGAAAGUUCCUCGAGUUCACAGUUCCUGUGUAAGACCAGAAGAAGGAAACAGCAACAUCUGGCUACCCGUGCAGCGUGAUCACAACGCAGGAGCACUCGGGAAAUGGUUAUUGCUUCCCGAGGCUGCUCACUGAGCUGGGGUCAUCGGUGGUCUUUUAUAGAAGACACACAGAGCAGGGAGUUCAUACGCUAACCGUUAACCAGAAACUUGCUUUGGAGCUAACCAGGAGCCCAGUCAGAUUUCCCCCUUUUAAUUCAAAUAUGAAGAACUAGUUACCUAGGAGGCAAAGGGAUGAUAAACACAACAUUCAGAACUGCGGUCAAAGAGGAUCAGACAGAGAUCUUCUAGAUGGAGAAGGGGCGGAAGAUUGAGGCCAUGACAGACAGUCUUCCAGCCCCUAAGUUAGGUGGUGAGUCACGGGAGUUUGUAUUAUCAUCAUUAGCUUUCAUUAUUUACAUUCUUUCGCAUGUGUCGGAUAUUUGUAAUAUAUUUUUAAAGGAAAAAAAUUUCUUCCACAACAUUUCAGCGCUUCAAAAAAAUAUUGUGCAGGUUAUAAUGGAAGAACAGGGAUUUAGAAUCACGGCCACUCAAGCCCAGGACCUGUGCCCUCUGAAACCCUCAGGACCUCAGGGAUUUAGAAUCACAGCCACUCAAGCCCAGGACCUGUGCCCUCUGAGUCCCUCACGGCCUUUCAGCUGCUGACUUUUAUCAUUGCAGGCCUUCUGCCCCACCUCACUGGUUUCUGGGCCGCCUUUUGUCAGCACUCACAGAAAGGUACCCUCAUCCUAUCAACUCUGGUUGGGAAAGUGGUAUGUCCCACGGUCAGACUGACCUCACAGAGGUCAUCAUUUCUGCACCAGAACACCACAACCUCUUUCCUGUGAGCAAGCGCCCUUCCUCCCGUGCUGACUGAGGCCCUGGAAGCUCAACGCGGGCUGGCCCAGACCGCUGCUCGAUGGGCUGGGAGAGCCCCGCUUUCAGGGGCUGAGCCGGGCUGAGCUUCUAGGACACGGCUUGCAGGCUCAAGUGAUCAUGCUGAAGGAAGCCUUGUUGAACCUGGGCAGGGACUGGCACUGGGGGGCUGGCCUGCACCAAGAACUUGCACAGGGACUGGCUGCCACAGUCCCUGCAGACUGACUCCAAUACGGACCCCAACCACCCCCCGUGUGUCUGCUGGCCGCUCCUGCAUCAGCAGAUGGAGUCCACUCCCUUCCCCUGAAUCUGAGCCUGCCCUGGAAUUGCCCUUAAUCAAUUGAACAUGGCAAUUGACUAUACUCCAAUAAAAAUUUUUAAAUAAAUAAGUUCAAAAAACAUGUAUUGUAAUAACCUAUAACAGAAAAGAAUGUGAAAAAGAAUAUAUAUGUAUAAUCUAAAUCACUUUGCUGUAUGCUUGAAACUAAUACAUUACAAAUCAAUUAUACUUCAAUAAAAAUUUAAAGAAAUAGAGUAUGGCAGAAGCAAACUGGUGACAGCUCCGGGUCUAACCUGCACAGUGCCUGGCACUUUCUCUCAUUCUCCUAGAAGCUCGGGCUUCCUCGGGGCCCAGAUCUCUGGCAGAGACGCC
ensembl:lncRNA